rnacentral:rRNA from 1 species
GAUGAACGCUGGCGGCGUGCCUAAUACAUGCAAGUCGAGCGAAUGGAUUAAGAGCUUGCUCUUAUGAAGUUAGCGGCGGACGGGUGAGUAACACGUGGGUAACCUGCCCAUAAGACUGGGAUAACCCCGGGAAACCGGGGCUAAUACCGGAUAAUAUUUUGAACUGCAUGGUUCAAAAUUGAAAGGCGGCUUCGGCUGUCACUUAUGGAUGGACCCGCGUCGCAUUAGCUAGUUGGUGAGGUAACGGCUCACCAAGGCAACGAUGCGUAGCCGACCUGAGAGGGUGAUCGGCCACACUGGGACUGAGACACGGCCCAGACUCCUACGGGAGGCAGCAGUAGGGAAUCUUCCGCAAUGGACGAAAGUCUGACGGAGCAACGCCGCGUGAGUGAUGAAGGCUUUCGGGUCGUAAAACUCUGUUGUUAGGGAAGAACAAGUACUAGUUGAAUAAGCUGGCACCUUAACGGUACCUAACCAGAAAGCCACGGCUAACUACGUGCCAGCCGCCGCAGUAA